AUUGAACGCUGGCGGCAGGCCUAACACAUGCAAGUCGAACGAGUGGCGGACGGGUGAGUAAUGUCUGGGGAACUGCCCGAUGGAGGGGGAUAACUACUGGAAACGGUAGCUAAUACCGCAUACCAUCGGAUGUGCCCAGAUGGGGUGAGCUUGUAGGUGAGGUAACGGCUCACCUAGGCGACGAUCCCUAGCUGGUCUGCGAGGAUUACCAGCCACACUGGAACUGAGACACGGUCCAGACUCCUACGGGAGGCAGCAGUGGGGAAUAUUGGCCAAUGGGCUAAAGCCUGUUCCAGCCAUGCCGGGUGUGUGAAGAGGGCCUUCGGAUUGUAAAGCACUUUAAGUUGGGAGGCGUUACCAACAGAAUAAGCACCGGCUAACUUCGUGCCAGCAGCCGCGGUAAUAC
rnacentral:rRNA from 1 species